CUUCCUCAGGCAGAACGAGAUCUUGUGGCGGGAGGUGGUGACACUUCGGCAGAGCCACGCUGAUCCAGUGUCUCUUUGGGCCACUUCAGGCGGGGCCGAGCAAUGCAGGAGGCAAGAGAAAGCUGUCCCUGAUGCUGGAUGAGGGGAGCUCAUGCCCAACACCUGCCAAGUUCAACACCUGCCCUCUACCUGGUGCCCUUCUGCAGGACCCUUACUUCAUCCAGUCG
rnacentral:sRNA from 1 species